rnacentral:rRNA from 1 species
CUACGGGGGGCAGCAGUGAGGAAUAUUGGGCAAUGGACGCAAGUCUGACCCAGCCAUGCCGCGUGAAGGAUGACAGCCCUAUGGGUUGUAAACUUCUUUUAUAUGGGAAAAAACCCCCGAACGUGUUCGGGGCUGAUGGUACCAUAAGAAUAAGCACCGGCUAACUCCGUGCCAGCAGCCGCGGUAAUACGGAAGGUGCAAGCGUUAUCCGGAUUUAUUGGGUUUAAAGGGUGCGCAGGCGGAGCGAUCAGUCAGUGGUGAAAUCCUACGGCUCAACCGUAGAACUGCCAUUGAUACUGUCGUUCUUGAGUAUAGUUGAAGUGGGCGGAAUGUGUCAUGUAGCGGUGAAAUGCAUAGAUAUGACACAGAACACCAAUCGCGAAGGCAGCUCACUAAACUACUACUGACGCUCAGGCACGAAAGCGCGGGGAGCGAACAGGAUUAGAUACCCCAGUAGUC